rnacentral:miRNA from 1 species
UUAGAUUGGUGCAAAAGUAAUUGUGGUUUUUGCCAUUGAAAUGUAAUGGCAAAAACCACAAUGACUUUUGCACCAAUCUAAUA